UCCCUGGAGGACUAGUGGUUAGGCCUUGGUGCUCUAACCGCUGUGGACCAGGUUCAAUUCCCGGCCAGGGAA
rnacentral:tRNA from 1 species